GGCUCAGAUUGAACGCUGGCGGCAGGCCUAACACAUGCAAGUCGAGCGGCAGCACGGGUACUUGUACCUGGUGGCGAGCGGCGGACGGGUGAGUAAUGCCUAGGAAUCUGCCUGGUAGUGGGGGAUAACGUUCGGAAACGAACGCUAAUACCGCAUACGUCCUACGGGAGAAAGCAGGGGACCUUCGGGCCUUGCGCUAUCAGAUGAGCCUAGGUCGGAUUAGCUAGUUGGUGAGGUAAUGGCUCACCAAGGCGACGAUCCGUAACUGGUCUGAGAGGAUGAUCAGUCACACUGGAACUGAGACACGGUCCAGACUCCUACGGGAGGCAGCAGUGGGGAAUAUUGGACAAUGGGCGAAAGCCUGAUCCAGCCAUGCCGCGUGUGUGAAGAAGGUCUUCGGAUUGUAAAGCACUUUAAGUUGGGAGGAAGGGCAGUUACCUAAUACGUGAUUGUUUUGACGUUACCGACAGAAUAAGCACCGGCUAACUCUGUGCCAGCAGCCGCGGUAAUACAGAGGGUGCAAGCGUUAAUCGGAAUUACUGGGCGUAAAGCGCGCGUAGGUGGUUCGUUAAGUUGGAUGUGAAAUCCCCGGGCUCAACCUGGGAACUGCAUUCAAAACUGUCGAGCUAGAGUAUGGUAGAGGGUGGUGGAAUUUCCUGUGUAGCGGUGAAAUGCGUAGAUAUAGGAAGGAACACCAGUGGCGAAGGCGACCACCUGGACUGAUACUGACACUGAG
rnacentral:rRNA from 1 species